rnacentral:rRNA from 1 species
AGUGAACGCUGGCGGUAGGCCUAACACAUGCAAGUCGAACGGCAGCACAGUAAGAGCUUGCUCUUACGGGUGGCGAGUGGCGGACGGGUGAGGAAUACAUCGGAAUCUACUUUUUCGUGGGGGAUAACGUAGGGAAACUUACGCUAAUACCGCAUACGACCUACGGGUGAAAGCAGGGGAUCUUCGGACCUUGCGCGAUUGAAUGAGCCGAUGUCGGAUUAGCUAGUUGGCGGGGUAAAGGCCCACCAAGGCGACGAUCCGUAGCUGGUCUGAGAGGAUGAUCAGCCACACUGGAACUGAGACACGGUCCAGACUCCUACGGGAGGCAGCAGUGGGGAAUAUUGGACAAUGGGCGCAAGCCUGAUCCAGCCAUACCGCGUGGGUGAAGAAGGCCUUCGGGUUGUAAAGCCCUUUUGUUGGGAAAGAAAAGCAGCAGGUUAAUACCCCGCUGUUCUGACGUUACCCAAAGAAUAAGCACCGGCUAACCUCGUG